UCAGUGGCGAACGGGUGAGUAACACGUGAGUAACCUGCCCCUGACUCUGGGAUAACUGCUGGAAACGGUGGCUAAUACCGGAUAUGAGAUCCUUGCGCAUGUGGGGGUCUGGAAAGAUUUUUUGGUCGGGGAUGGGCUCGCGGCCUAUCAGCUUGUUGGUGGGGUGAUGGCUCACCAAGGCGACGACGGGUAGCCGGCCUGAGAGGGCGACCGGCCACACUGGGACUGAGACACGGCCCAGACUCCUACGGGAGGCAGCAGUGGGGAAUAUUGCACAAUGGGCGCAAGCCUGAUGCAGCGACGCCGCGUGAGGGAUGGAGGCCUUCGGGUUGUAAACCUCUUUCAGCAGGGAAGAAGCGCAAGUGACGGUACCUGCAGAAGAAGCGCCGGCUAACUACGUGCCAGCAGCCGCGGUAAUACGUAGGGCGCAAGCGUUGUCCGGAAUUAUUGGGCGUAAAGAGCUCGUAGGCGGUUUGUCGCGUCUGCUGUGAAAACCUGAGGCUCAACCUUGGGCUUGCAGUGGGUACGGGCAGACUAGAGUGCGGUAGGGGUGACUGGAAUUCCUGGUGUAGCGGUGGAAUGCGCAGAUAUCAGGAGGAACACCGAUGGCGAAGGCAGGUCACUGGGCCGCAACUGACGC
rnacentral:rRNA from 1 species